ensembl:lncRNA
AUGCAGUACUCAUAUUUUCAUUAUCAAAGUUUAGAAAAUGUCAAGAGCAGCAACAGCGGAAAGAAGAUUGGUCAGAGAUUGGUAAAAAGUCUUAGUUUAAAAGAAAUGAAAAAGAAACGAAAUGAAAAUGGAAAAGGUAAUAGUAAUAAAAAAAAGCAAAAUGAGAAAAGGAAAAAAAGUAAUAGUAGUAAAGGCAUGAGUAAUAGUAGUAAAGAUAUGCGCAAUAGUAGUAAAGAUAUGCGCAAUAGUAGUAAAGAUAUGCGCAAUAGUAGUAAAGAUAUGCGCAAUAGUAGUAAAGAUAUGCGCAAUAGUAGUAAGAGCAUGCGCAAUAGUAGUAAGAGCAUGCGNNNNNNNNNNAUGCGCAAUAGUAGUAAGAGCAUGCGCAAUAGUAGUAAGAGCAUGCGCAGUAGCAAUAUAGACAUGAGUAAUACCGACGAUAGAGACCAUAAAAAAAUAAAAAUAAAAAAACAUUCCUACAACAACAAUACAAGAGAUGAAAAAAAAAAAAAAGAAAAAAGAAAAAGUAAUUUUAAAUACCAGGAUAAAAUGUGGCCUCCUAUAAGAAAUUUGUUUAACAGAAAAAAAACGCCGAACCUUGAAAGUUUCACAAACAAAAAUAAGUAUCAGAAUAAACAUAUAGGUGAUUAUACUGGAUCAUAUAAGAAAGGACAUAUGGUGAAUAACACAUCUAUAUAUAAAAAUGAAAAUAAAUACCAUAAAAAAUUAUUGUUAAAUAAGAAAGUAACACUUAGCAAUAAACAAAUGGACGAACUGUAUUUAAAAUAUCGACCAAAAAGUAUUGUAAAAAGUAAUGUUAAUAAAAUAUUAAAAAUAAAUAUAAAUGCUGAAGAAGAAAAUAUUGAAAGAAUAAGGCAACUAUUUCUUACAUUUAGUAGUAAUAGUAAUAGUAAUAAAGAAAAAAAAAUAAAUAAUUAUAUUAAUAACAUUAUUAAUAGUUGUUCUUUAUAUUCUAAUUUUAAUACAUUUUAUAAAAAGAAAAUUGAUAUAUUAGAUCAGAAAAUAAAAAUAAAUAAGCGUUUAUUAGAGCUAUUAUUUUCUUAUUAUUAUAAACAUAACAUUUCGAUAUAUUAUAAAAUAUAUAAGAAAUUGGAGUAUAUAUAUACAUGUAUGGUUAUAUCCGAUUAUACCAAACUGUUUAAUGUAUAUAAUUCUAACGAAAUGAAUGAUACUAUAAAUAAGUAUUCAUUAUUGAUGAUUAUAAAAUAUAUACAAUGUCAUAUGCAUAAUAAUAAUAAAUUAUUUAAUUUAUUUAUAAUAAAAAUAAUAAAUUUCUUAAAUCAGAAUAUACAUCAGUUAAGUGAUUUUUUAUGUUUAUAUGAAUAUAAAGAUAUGACGAAUAUGAUAAAUCAAUAUAUUAUGAGUAUAUAUAUAAAUAAUAAAUUAUCUUUAAAUAAAUAUAAUUUUUUUUCAAUUAAUAAAAAUAAAAUAACAUAUGUUCCUUUAUCUAAUGUUUUAUUUUUAUAUUGUAAUAAUUUUAGUUUAAAUAGUAUUAUUAAUAUAUUACAUAGUCAUCCACAAUUUUCUCUUUUUUUUAAAACAUUGGCAGUUAAUAAUUUAGUUUAUUUGUAUAAAAAAAAUACAAUUACAAAUGCUAUACUUUUACAAUUGUUUGAAUAUUUAAAGGUGGAUUUGGGGAAUCGAGUUUUAUUUUUUAUUAUUUUUUUUGCUUUACAUUCGUUUCAGUUUUUAUAUACAUUUUUUGUUAAUUUGCACACGUAUAUAGAUGAUGAACAUUUUUAUUGUACUAUGUAUUUGGAGCCGGAUGAUAACAACAAAGGGAUAGACCACCAUAAAAAUGAAGAAACGAAUUACUUAGCAUUAAAAUAUAGAAAUGAUAAAAAAUGUAGUAAUAAUAUUUUAAGUAUAUAUGAACAGACUAAUAAUAUUAAUGAACAAAUUUUAGUUAAAAAAGAUAUGUUUUUUGAUAAUAAUAAUUUAUUUGUUAAAAAAAGGAACAAAUUGAAAGAUUUCUUUUACAAAUUAAUAAAAUAUAAAACGAAUGCAUUAAGUUAUGAUAAAAAUCGUAGGGAUAAAUCAACAAAUAAUUUAAACAUUAACAAUUUUAUUUUUUAUAGAUAUAAUGAUUAUAUAAAAAAAAAAACAAGUUUUAUGUUUAAAAUGUUGUUUAAUUAA